CUGACCUCGUCGCACGUCGGCUUCUACGUGCUGCGCAUCGACAUGGUCGCCGCCAUGCCAAGAAGCGCAGCAAGAAGGACGCCCGGGCCACACUUGACCCUGAGCGCGUCCGCCGGACCGAUGGUGAUCCUGGCGCUGGUCCUAGCAACGCUGCGGCACCUACUGCACCGCCGCAGCAACCGCCAGCGCCACGUCAAGACCGAUGGGUGCGCCCUCCAUUGCCUUCGCCGGAACGUGUCGCAGAGGGGCUGCGCGAGUCCGAGACCCAGCAGCCGCUCUGUCCGAUGCGGUACUGCCCCCUCCAUGGAUGGGGGUCGUGUCCUGCUCGCCAACCGCGGGCUCCUCCAACAGAUGCAGACACCGUCGCCCCCGCUGUUCGAUCGAGCGGACUGCUCGUUCAAGUCACCUCUCCUGCGCGCCCUCGUGCUCGGACACGGUUGA
rnacentral:misc_RNA from 1 species